AAUUCUAGAAAUUUAUAAGACAUUACCAAUAUUGAAUUAUGAAGCUGUAAAAACAUGUUGGAUAGUUAAUUAAGAAAGAUGCCAUUUUCUUUUUCUGGGAUUUGUUACAUUUGUGUAUUUGUCAGCUUUUUAACAUUAAUAAUUUGUUGGUUGUGAUUUCUCAUUCUAAAGAAAAAUUCACAUUUGCACCUAAUUUAUUUUUUGUAUCCUUUUUCUUAAUGAACCUCCCUCCCAACUGAAUAAACUUCAGGCCCUGUAAAAGCAGCUUCAACACACUACUCCAAUGCCUUGACAGGAUGUAAAACACCCAAAACUAAUUAGUAACCCUGGAGAAGGAGUUACUAAUUAGGAGUUACUUUUCCCCUGGAGAAGGGGAUCCUUGAAUCAGCUGAGAUUAACUCUCCACCAUAUGCCAGAUAUUGUCUAUUGGUACUCAAAACCUUUCCUAUUCUUGUAAGCCCUUCCCAGUAUUGCAGGAGCAGGAAGCCUAGCAACUACUUUUGCCAAACUUCUGUUUUAACAGCCUUGUUUGGAUUCAGUCAAUGAGAGGCAUUCAAGUGAAAUUUGGGAGAUAGAAGAGAAGCAGAAGCCAUUAUUGUUUCUCCAAUAUCAAAGUUCCUUCAUUUUAAUACCUGAAAAUCACUAACCAUGGAUGCUACUGAGAACUAAGACUAGAUAAGAACUGAAGACGGGAAGAUGAACUACUCGUGGAUCCCUUCCUUUUGGGAAAGCCAGCCACCGUGGAUGCAAGAGCACUUGACGUUAGACCUAGGUGAAGAGAACCUGAGGGGUCCUACCAAAAGCCCGCACUAACGUGCCAUCCAUGUGAGUGAGCCACCUUGGAAGCAGAUCUGGUAGCCUUCAGAUGACUGUAGUCACAGCUGCCAUCUGACUGAACCUCAUGAGAAUCUCCAAGCUAGAACUGUCCAGCCACAGAAACUAUGAGAGAUAAUAAAAUUGUGCCACAAAGGUUUGGCACAAUUUGGUUUACAGAAAUAGAUAACUUACAUACACACUACCAUUUAAAUAUUGCUUUGCAGAAAGGAUGUCUAUUCUCUUCCCAAUUAUGAGUUUGGAUCCAGAAAAGAAAAUAGCACCUAUGCCAGGGAGCUCAAUACUUGGAAUCUAACAUGAGGAACUAGUUUAAAAUGUUUGGAAGAAUUCAGAGGGUAAAUAGGAGGAUGGUGGGACUCCCAGAGAUGAGCAACAUGAGGGAGUUGCUACCCUUAGGGCUGCAGGGACUAGAGGAAGAGACCGUGUUGCCCAGAUGUGGUAACAGAUUUUUUUUAGCAGAUUCUCCAGCCCCAGUUAAGCCUUGAGGUAACUGGAACCUGGAUGACAUCUUGACUGAAACUUCAUGAGAAACCCUGAGCCAGAACCACCUGGCUAAGCCAGGUCCGAGAUUCCUGACCCUCAGAAAUCCUGGGAGAUAAUAAAUAUUUGUUAUUUUAAACUGCUAAGCUUCAGAAUAAUAUGUUACAUAGAAAUAGAUAACUAAUAUAGAUUUUGAUACCUGGAAGUGGGACAAAAUCCUAAAAUGCAGAAAUGACUUUGGAACUGGGUUGUGGGCUUUGGGGAGAGUUAGUGAAACUCUAAAGUACCUCAACAAAACUGUUAAUAGAAGUAUCUUGAUCUUUUAUAUGGCUGCAGGUGAAGUCUUGCAAGAAAAUGAAGUAAUGUUAUUGGAAACUGAAGAAAAGGGGAUCCUUAUUAUACUGUAUAGUGGCAGAAAGUUCAACAACAUUGUUGCCUGAAGUAACUGAAUGGUAGAAAGUGUGUCUAAUGAACUGGGUGAUCUAGCUAGAGAGAUUUCCAAGCAAAGGUUUCUUCUUGUUGCUUACAGCAAAAUGUAAGAGGAGAGAGAGAAACUAAAGGAAGAACUGUUAAACAACAAGGAGACAGAAUUUGCUGGUUUUGAAAAUUCUCAGCCUCUCCAAAUGGCAAACAAUGCUAAAGUUAAGAUAUAGCUUCUGAGCAAAAAUCAAAUCCAGGGCACUACCAGUAAAACACGGUCCAAAGAAAAAGCCAAAGGUGUGGCUAUAAAAUCUUUUGUUAGUCUCAAAAAGAUUUAAGGUUGCGCAUUAGAGUACUAUUGAGUCAGACAAAAGGGCUUCUAAGGAGAUUAAAGGUAUAUCUCUUUAGGAGAUUAAAGGCAUAGUCUCUUAAUAAAAUGGUAAAGUGUCUAGGAAACUUAAGUUCAUUGUCCCUCAGCCAUCCCAUCAGAAGCCCAAGGUAGAGAAGAGCUUAUUUGAAAGAUAUUUGUAGGUGUGGCUUUGUCUAAUGGGGUAGACCCCCAUAAGAUUCAUGGAAGACUCAUAAAAUUUUUUAAAGAAUUAUGUAUGCAGAAAUAUUGUCACCUUGGACCAAAAGGGAUAAAGAUGGGACAAAAUAAAAAGAGGCCUUUAGACCCUCAAAUUUCUACUAGGAAGAAGUAGGCUGAGAAAAUUCCUCAUCUAUAAGUAUGGGCUAUCUUUCAUGAAAAAGGGAGGAUGACCUAGAAGUCAGAACCAAGACCCCAGAACAUGAUGCUGAGAGCCAGGGAGAAUUAUUCCCCAGCCUUGAGACUUAAUCAAGGAACUUUCAACAUUAGCUUAGCUGGAUUUCAGAAUUAUAAUGGACCAGUGACUCCUUUGUGCCUGCCAUCUCCCCUCCUUUUGAACAGAAAUAUCUACAGCAGUUACCCUGUUACGCCUGUCUCACCAUUGUGUGUUGGGUAUACGGAGGGGCAGAUAAACUUUACUUUCACCGGGGGAGAAGAACUGUACUCAAGGAGCUACAUUUAAGGAACUAAACCCAGGGAGCCUCAACUGCACCUGGACCUGAUUUAGAUGAUGAGAUGCCAUACUUCAAGCUGAUGCUGUAAUAAAGGUGAGACUUGUGGUGACUUUGGGAGAAAGUGAGUGUAUUUUACACGUGGGAGGGACAUGAAUCCUGGGGGACCAGAGAAUGGACUGUGGUAGCCAGCCUCCAAGAUCAGCCCUCAAUUAUCCUUGCCUCCUGGUAUUCACACCCUUGUGUAGGCCCUUCCUACACUGUGUCACAAUUGGUCUGUGCGACCAACAGCAUGUGGCAGAAGUGAUGGUAUGUAACUUCUGAGGUUAGGUUAUUAAAAAGACUGCAGCUUCCAUACCAGUAUCUCUCUGUCUCUCUGUCUCUGUCUCUAUUUCUAUCUCUUGGAUAACUCCCUGUUGGAGAAGCAAGCUGCCAUACUGUAUGCAGCUCUAGGGAGAAGGCCACCUGGCAGAAUACUAAAGCCUCUAGAAACUGUGUCCUGCCCACAACCAUGUGAGUGAACUUAGAAGUGAAUUAUUCAGCCCUACUCUAGCUAUGAGAUGACUGCAGUCCCAGCCAACAUCCUGAAAGCAACCUCAUGAGACCUUGAAUCAGAACCACCUGGCUAAGUCACUCUCAGAUUACUAAACCUUAGGAACUGUAUGACAUAAUAAAAUGUUUGUUGUUUUAAACUGUGAAGUUUUGAGGUAAUUUAUUAUGCAGUAACAGAUAACAAACACACCAGCCCAAGAGCUAGGACUGCCCAACAGAAGCUAGAACAGAAGCUAGAGAGGGGCUGUCCUUCUGCAGUAGGAGCCAUAAAGAAGAUGCAGCCACUACUGGAGACACUGCAUGAAGCACAGGGAGAAGGAAAGACCUAGCCUCUUCAUGGCCCCUCAUCUGCCACCCUUGCCUCCACUGGCCAAACCAAACCACAAGGAAAUUGUUAAGGGAGCCUGAGAAAUGUCAUGUGCAAGGAGCAACCUCUUGCAAUACAGAACAGGGCAGAGCAAGAGAAGGAAAUUAAUCUGAGAACAAAUAGGCAAACUACCAGCACAACCAAGAAUCCUUUUUCCAGGGAAUCCUCAAUAACAUUCUUCGGAACCUUGUCUCAAACUCCAGUUUGGGAAACAAUGGCCUUAACCUACUCUUCUCCAAAUGUCUGCAAGUCUAAAUCUUAUAUAUUAAUUAUCAUCCACUUCAAGUACAAAGUUUUUCUCCACUAAUCUUUUGUUCCUCAUUACCCUGGGUAGCCCCAUCUUCUUUCAGUUCCACAGCAUUUGAUCUACACCCAUUUUAGGCAUUUUUAAACACAAUUUAUAGUUAUUUAGUGCAUGUCUUAUUGUCUGAGAAUUAAUAAGUUUCUUGAGGGUCAGCUCUAUUUCUGAUGUACUGUUGCAUAUUGCCCCAUAGUCACAGCGCCUAGUACAGAACCUUGCUCAGAGUAAAUAUCAAUAGGUAUUAAGUGAAUGAGUAUUAAAGCCAGUGAUAGAAAUGGUAUAAAACGCUGUUAACUUUGUCUAUAUUACUAUUAAAUGCUUUAUAUACUCCUGCUGGAAUCAAGAGAUUCUAGGAUAAUCUUUCUAUUUUCUUGGCUGGUCACAUCUUUUGAACUCCUUUGAACCUUCUCUAGGGGGAAGAGAACAAUAAAAUUGCAAACCGGUUUGUAUCUGGGCAGGAAUAAUUAUCCUGUGAGACCAAAGUCCUGCCUGGAACUUUUUAGAAGGAGGAGUAGGUUCAGAGAACUGCACUUGUCUCCUCUCUCAACUUUGACUACUCUGAGAAAAGUCAUCUGCUCAGUAAGAAAGGAAUGCUCAGCAUUUUGCAAAAGUGAUUUCCUCUACUUCCCUAUCUUUCUUGCUGAUGCCUUGAUAGAGGGAAUAAAUAUAAAACAGAAAGGAUGUUUUUACAUAAGCUCCUCUUAAUUAGUUCAGGCUUCUUCACUUCCUGCCUGGAUUACCACAAUGCCCCCAACAAGUCUCCUGGCAUCUUGUUUCUAAAAACAAAUCUUCUAAAAACACUCUCAUGUUUAACGUUUUUCAGUGGUUACUCAUUCUCUUCUGGAUAAAAUCCAAACUCUUCAUGAUUUGGCCUUGGGAUUACUUCUUCAGCCAAAUCUUUUCUUAUCAACAUCAAGCUUUCCAGUCCUCCCCCUCUUCCUUCUGCCUCUUUCCUUUCCCCUCUCACCUGAAUCUUCUCCUAGUUCAACCCAACUCAUCCUUCAAGAUUUCGUUUCAACUGUCCCUCAAGGAAGUUUCUCUUGAGCCUCUCGGAUAGAGUAGGCUCCCUUAGCAUACUUUAUAGAUCACUUUGGCCUUGGGCAAGCUGCUCUCUAAACCUCAGUAUCCCAAUCUAGAAAAUUGCUUGUGGCAAGGAUAAUAGAUAAUUGAUGCAAAAUACUUAGCACAGUGCCUGACAUAUAUAUUAAGUGUUACAUAUUAGAUGUUAAAUCAUGGCAAUUAUUUAAUCCAAUAUCUUCAUUAUAUUUGGGAAAACAGAGAUCCAGAGCAGUCAAACGAUGGGCUCAAGUAGAAUAAAGAUAGAGAGAGGGAGACAUCUGAUUCGCUUAUGAAGAUUUACAAACCAAAUUUCAAAGUGAGGAAAUUAGGAGGGAUUGACUUCAAAUCUAAUAUUAAAAUAAAACAUUUAUCAAGAAAUAAACUUGGGGUUGAGAGUAGAUGCUACACUACUAAGAAAAAUGGCAAGUCAGGGCAACUUUCAAGACAAUUCAGGAUAUUUGACACAACUGAAAUGUUUUCUUAACUGUCUCAACUUGCUAAUUUACUUUUUCUGUUUAUUUCUAUAUUCAACGAAGUAGUGUCUGUGCAUUCACUAAAUAAAAUGGUUUGUAACUCCUUGACAUUUUUUUUUUUUAUUGAAUUAAGUACAACGUUAAACCAUUAACAUGACCUUUAGAAAAUCAAUAUUGUCCCCGGGCUCAAGACCACUUACUCUACAGCUUAAUUGGUCCUUAGCUUUCAGCUUCUGACUCUAGACUUGUAUUAUCCAAUACAGUAGCCACUAGCCUCAUGUGGCUGUUGGGCACUUGAAAUAUGGCUAGUCCAAAUUGAAAUGUGCUAUAUAAGUGAAAAUACACACAGAUUUUAAAGGUUUGGUAAAAAAAAAAAAAGCAAACUAUCUCAAUAAUUUUUUACAUUGACUACAUGUGAAAUGAUAAUAUUUCUGUUAUAUUGGGAUAAAUAUAAUCUAUAAUUAACAUUAAUUUCACCCAUUUCUUUUUAUCUUUUUUACUGUGGCUACUGAAAAAAAUUUUACUUAUGUCCACUGGACAGUGCUGUUCUAGAUCCUGGGAUUUUUCAGAAUCAGGUGGGGAGCGUUAGUUCUAAGAUCAGAUACUCCCCUCUCCUGGAUUUUCUUUGUCUCAGUGAUGUAACUCUGUCACCCUUCCUGGAGGCCAAAGGCCUCCACUAUCCCAUUCAGAAUGGGGCCCUCAAAAGGCUGAAAGAGUUAAAGAAACAGUUUUAAAUGUAGAUCAUUGAGCGAAUCCACAUUUCAAAGAGUCAAAGACAAUAGGUGAUUAUCGACCCCAGGCAACAGCUAAGAUUCACCUUACCAUUCCUGAUUGGCUCUCCUGUUUACUUGGAUCAUCUCUUAAUCGUCACAACAACUCUAACAUUUAGGUGCUAUUAUUACAUACACAUUUUACAAAUGAGUAAAUGGAAGUUAGGGAGCUAGCAGGCAUGGUCUGGAGUUUUGACCCCAGGUGGUCCAACUGUCCAAGUGUCAUAUCUAGCAAGACUACAAGCUCCUUGAAUAUCCUGUACCUUGUCCCUUCAUGACCUGACACAUACGAGAUGGUCAGUAAGUAUGUGUAGUAAAAUGUAUAUACAGUAUGACUUCAACCAUGUAGGGAAAAAAAAAUAUGGAAAAGUCUGGAAGGAAAUACAUCAAAAUGUUGAAAGAUGGUUAAUUACGAGUGGUGAUGUUAUGGGCAUUUUUUGAUAAUGUACAUAUUUUGUUUUUCAAUUUUACACUUUUCUGUAUCUUCCAAACUUUUGACAAUGUGCAUAUACUGUUUUUACUUCCAUUACUCUUUAAAUCACGCAAAAUGUCCUUUUAAGAGAAUGUAGAUGGUCACUGACAUGUUCUCUGUGUGCUGAUACUGCUCUUUUCUUCUUCCCGUGAUGUUUCCAUUUCCCUCACAGUUGGUGACCCUCUCCUCCACUUCCGCUUCUCCAUUCUCUCUCUCAAUCUCUCUCUUCUGCUUUUUCAUCUCUCUCUCCCUCCCUCCCUCUCUUGCUCUGUCCUGCUCCUUUCCAUGAGCCUUUCUCAGACUUUUUCCUCUAGAUCUUCCUCCUCUCUUGUCUCCUCUCUCUCCCUUCUUUCUGAGAAGAUUGACAUUCAAAUGAAAGGUCAAUCGAAUGUGACUCUGCACUUGGUAGGUUUCUGGGAGAUUCUAUCUGCCUCUGGAGUCCUGAGAAAGGUCCUCAAGUUGGGGGCAGGGGAACGGAGGGGGAAACUUCUAAAGAGGAUGGCUACAUUUUGGAUAAAAUCAGAGGUGGGCAGGACAUUUCAGAGUGACAAAAGUAGUGGGCACAAAAGUCUGAGGAUUCUCUCAGGGAAAGAGAGAUGAGCAGAGGGGCUUUUACCUUAUUGGGUCUGGGGAUUGCUGUCUCCCCGUGCUGGCACUCAAUUAGAAAGGAUGUGGACCUUAGUUGAUUUGAGCUCCUGAAUUGAAUUAGUCCUGGUUGUAUAAUUGACUUUGAUAUGUGGCCUUUGGAUCUGAAUUGGGUUUAAUAAGAUUUAACUGCUUCAAAGGGCUUUAUAAGAAUUCAUUUUAUCCUUCAAAUCUGAUUUCAAAUGCUACCUACUUUAAGACACCUUCUCUGACUUUGGUGCGCCUCAUCCGGCGCUUCUAUUAUGCCAUAGUAGAUGCAUACCUUAUUCAAGCAAUUACUUCCAUUGUAUUUUAUCUUAUUCUGGGGAAAUGGUUCCUUUAUUGCCUCUCUUCAGGAAUCUUGAAGGACAGGCAAGUAUCUUAUUCAUCUUUGUAUCCCAGGCCUAGCACAGACCAGGAACACACUUAGUUCAGCAUGCAGGCACUCAAUAAUGAUUUUUAAAGGUUUAUCAACAGUUAACAUUUAGUAAGCACCAUGGGAAGCCCUAUACCUACACUGUUUCAUUUGGCAGACACUUUAGGAGAAAAGUACUUUUAUUAUCCCCAUUUUACAAUGAGAAAACUGAGAGUAAGAGAAAUUAGUUUGAUCUAAAGUCAAAUUUGAUCCAAGAUCAACUAGUAAGUGGCAGAACAGGCUUUUGACAUCAAGAUUUGGGAUGGAUGGGGAAUGCUUUCACUCCAGGGCUGAAGAAGUGACAUGGAAGAGUCCACCAUUUAUUUACAAAGGCAAUUAUGAUUUAAAAUCAUGGUAAGUCCUAACUCACGGUAUUUCUAACUUUUGAAUCACCUUUAUUUCUUCCUUCCUCCUUUCCUCCCUCUUUGCUUCCCUUCCUUCCUUCCUCCCUCCAUUCCAUCCUUCGUUCCCUUCUGUCUCUCUUUUUCUUUCUCUUCUAAAACUCUCAAGAAAAAUGUUUGAACUCCUACACUGAAGUGUAGUUCAGUCAAGAACUGAGUGUUUUACUGGGAAGGGGACUAACAUUUUACGUAUUUGGUUCUUACUUUUUACCAUUCAUUCAUUUGCAAAUUUACAAAUAUCAAGCACCUACUGUGUGCUAGGAACCAUUUUUAGGCACUAGAGAUACAGGGGUAAACGAAACAAUGUCCCGGUUUUCACGAAGAUUACAUUCUAGUGGGCACUUUACUCCGGUUCGCUUACUCCUCACGAUAACCGCAUGAGGUAAUGAUGACACAAUCAUGGAUAACUCUUAACAACGCUUAUCUGUGCCAGGCACUGGGCUACGUGCUUUAUUUGUAUUAACUCAAUUAUCACAACAACCCUAUCAGGAGGGGUUAUGUUUUCUCCAUUUUAUAGAUGAGGAAACUGAGACACAAGGAGGUAAGUGACUAGCUCAAGUGUCGAACCCAGGCAGUGUGGCUCUAACUCCCAGGCUAUUAACCACAAGGCUAUAUUGUUUCGUUUAUGUUUCUUUAAUCACACCUUUUAAGUGGCUGAGUCCUAUCUCAGAUGAUCCCAAACCCAGGGGUUUGCGCUGUACCCCAGCGGCCUCGUGGAAUAAAAUGAGAUUGCCCUGGAAUUUUGGCAACACUCUCUCUUCCAAAGAAUUCAAGCUGAUUUCCACCUAAUUCUCAGAUUUGUGAUGUGAACUUUGUACUAUAAAUUUCCCGGCAAGGAGCAAGUUAGGGCCAAGGCCCCGGAUCAUCUUACUCGGGCCGGGGCACCCAGCAGAUGGCGCUAUCUUAGUAGCCACCAGCUGGCUGCCCCGUCUCCGGGGCUCACCGUGUCUGCCGAAAGCUUCCCGGCCCUCCCUCACUCCCUUCUCUCUCCCCCUCCCCACGGAGCCCAGGCCCACGUGACCUCAAGGCGGCCAAUGGGCAAGCAGAGAGGGCGAGCUGGUCCCUGUGGCCGCCAUUAAAGCGAAGGGAAAACCCGUGAAUUCGGAUUAAAGGGGGAAAAACACCGCCCGCUGGGCCCACAAAAUGGGGGAGACUACGGCGUCCGGGCGGUGAGGCCGCAGGAGAGCAGACGUUAGGCCGGCUUGGCCCAGGGACAACACGAAGACACAGCCGGAGAAUGGUCUGAGCCCGCAGACGCCGCCACCACCUCCGCCACUGAGGAGACUCUGGGCAUAAGGACAUCGCCGCUGCCGGGCCGGGGGCCUGGGCUUCUCUCCGGCUUCUCGCCCUUCCCGCCCCUUGCGGGCGCCUCCCGCCCCGGGAGAAGCCUCCAGGGCUUGGGCUCUGCCCUUUCGGACUCGAUUUUAAUUAUUUAUUGUGUAAUUUAUUAUUUUACUUGUGGCAGGGGCACCCAUCUCCUCCGUCCCCCAGAGAGGGACGAGCGUCCGCGGGCUCCGCGGCGGCCGCAGUCCGGCCCACGGGGCGAGCGCGGCGCGGCCCUCCCGCCUCCGGCCCUCGGCCCCGGGCGGCGGGGUGCCGGCCGGGCGGCGGGG